GAGUUUGAUCGUGCUCAGGAUGAACGCUGGCGGCGUGCCUAAUACAUGCAAAGUCGAGCGAACAGACGAGGAGCUUGCUCCUCUGACGUUAGCGGCGGACGGGUGAGUAACACGUGGAUAACCUACCUAUAAGACUGGGAUAACUUCGGGAAACCGGAGCUAAUACCGGAUAAUAUAUUGAACCGCAUGGUUUCAAUAGUGAAAGACGGUUUUUGCUGUCACUUAUAGAUGGAUCCGCGACCGCAUUAGCUAGUUGGUAAAGUACGGCUUACCAAGGCACGAUGCGUAGCCGACCUGAGAGGGUGAUCGGCCACACUGG
rnacentral:rRNA from 1 species